AGUGAACGCUGGCGGUAGGCCUAACACAUGCAAGUCGAACGGCAGCACAGUAAGAGCUUGCUCUUACGGGUGGCGAGUGGCGGACGGGUGAGGAAUACAUCGGAAUCUACUUUUUCGUGGGGGAUAACGUAGGGAAACUUACGCUAAUACCGCAUACGACCUACGGGUGAAAGCAGGGGAUCUUCGGACCUUGCGCGAUUGAAUGAGCCGAUGUCGGAUUAGCUAGUUGGCGGGGUAAAGGCCCACCAAGGCGACGAUCCGUAGCUGGUCUGAGAGGAUGAUCAGCCACACUGGAACUGAGACACGGUCCAGACUCCUACGGGAGGCAGCAGUGGGGAAUAUUGGACAAUGGGCGCAAGCCUGAUCCAGCCAUACCGCGUGGGCGAAGAAGGCCUUCGGGUUGUAAAGCCCUUUUGUUGGGAAAGAAAGGCAGCAGGUUAAUACCCCGCUGUUCUGACGGUACCCAAAGAAUAAGCACCGGCUAACUUCGUG
rnacentral:rRNA from 1 species